rnacentral:piRNA from 1 species
UGCGUUUAUCAGUAGUGAGGU